rnacentral:rRNA from 1 species
AUUGAACGCUGGCGGCAGGCUUAACACAUGCAAGUCGAGCGGAGAUGAGGUGCUUGCACCUUAUCUUAGCGGCGGACGGGUGAGUAAUGCUUAGGAAUCUGCCUAUUAGUGGGGGACAACAUUCCGAAAGGAAUGCUAAUACCGCAUACGUCCUACGGGAGAAAGCAGGGGAUCUUCGGAACUUGCGCUAAGAGAUGGGCCUAAGUCGGAUUAGCUAGUUGGUGGGGUAAAGGCCUACCAAGGCGACGAUCUGUAGCGGGUCUGAGAGGAUGAUCCGCCACACUGGGACUGAGACACGGCCCAGACUCCUACGGGAGGCAGCAGUGGGGAAUAUUGGACAAUGGGCGGAAGCCUGAUCCAGCCAUGCCGCGUGUGUGAAGAAGGCCUUUUGGUUGUAAAGCACUUUAAGCGAGGAGGAGGCUACCUAGAUUAAUACUCUGGGAUAGUGGACGUUACUCGCAGAAUAAGCACCGGCUAACUCUGUGCCAGCCGCCGCAGUAAGAC